UACGUAGGCAGCGAGCGUUGUUCGGAGUUACUGGGCGUAAAGGGCUCGUAGGCGGUUUGUCGCGUCGGGAGUGAAAACCUUGGGCUUAACUCAGGGCUUGCUUUCGAUACGGGCAGACUAGAGGUAUGCAGGGGAGAACGGAAUUCCUGGUGUAGCGGUGAAAUGCGCAGAUAUCAGGGGGAACACCGGUGGCGAAGGCGGUUCUCUGGGCAUGAUCUGACGCUGAGGAGCGAAAGUGUGGGGAGCGAACAGG
rnacentral:rRNA from 1 species